rnacentral:rRNA from 1 species
AUUGAACGCUGGCGGCAGGCUUAACACAUGCAAGUCGAGCGGAGAUGAGGUGCUUGCACCUUAUCUUAGCGGCGGACGGGUGAGUAAUGCUUAGGAAUCUGCCUAUUAGUGGGGGACAACAUUCCGAAAGGAAUGCUAAUACCGCAUACGCCCUACGGGGGAAAGCAGGGGAGCUUAGGACCUUGCGCUAAUAGAAGAGCCUAAGUCGGAUUAGCUAGUUGGUGGGGUAAAGGCCUACCAAGGCGACGAUCUGUAGCGGGUCUGAGAGGAUGAUCCGCCACACUGGGACUGAGACACGGCCCAGACUCCUACGGGAGGCAGCAGUGGGGAAUAUUGGACAAUGGGCGGAAGCCUGAUUCAGCCAUGCCGCGUGUGUGAAGAAGGCCUUUUGGUUGUAAAGCACUUUAAGCGAGGAGGAGGCUCCCUGGAUUAAUACUCUAGGAUAGUGGACGUUACUCGCAGAAUAAGCACCGGCUAACUCUGUGCCAGCCGCCGCGUAAGAC